rnacentral:rRNA from 1 species
UGGUGGAGUGAUUUGUCUGGUUAAUUCCGUUAACGAACGAGACCUCAGCCUACUAAAUAGUUAUGUGAAUCUUCUACUCGGGUGAAGCUGUUGUUGGUGUCGGUGGUUUCGGCCGUCGGCUCAAUGGCAGUGGAUCCUUGAUGCAUUCAUAGGCAACUUCUUAGAGGGACUAUUUGUAUCUAGCAAAUGGAAGUUUGAGGCAAUAACA